UAGCAUAGUGUUUAAAGCAUUUGGCUGUUAACUGAAAGGUUGGUGGUUCGAACCCACU
rnacentral:tRNA from 1 species